AUAGAAAGAGGGCAUAAGCUCAAACCAGAAGUCGUAUCGACUUAGAGACAAUCCAAACAAUGUUAUCAAUAACUCUUACAAAAGAAAAUAGUCUCUCUCUCUUUACUGUUGAUUUCCGAUUAUGGUGAUACCGUCUUCCUUCAAAAAAUUUGACGACCGAAUGCAGUGUUCAUGAAGAUUAACAGGAUGUUGGUUUUGGAUCAGCCUCAUGAUGAGAUAGGAUAGACCACAUAUAAUUCGGUUGUAAUCGUAUAGGACUGUGUUUUAUGGAUAGUCUCACUAAUCUGAUGAGCUAUUAAUGUGGUUUGCGAUAUUUAUUGUUUUUCUACUUAAAAACAAAGAGUGUGUUGAUUUUGAUUUUGCGUAUUCGUAUCUUUUUAUUGGUAGGAAGGCUACUUGUAAUGUUUGUCUUAUGGCAUGUGUAGUUUCUAUUUAAUUUGUCGUUUAAAUCAUAUUUUUGAAUCCUGUUGUAUUA